GACGAACGCUGGCGGCGUGCCUAAUACAUGCCAGUAGAACGCACAGUUUAUACCGUAGCUUGCUACACCAUAAACUGUGAGUUGCGAACGGGUGAGUAACGCGUAGGUAACCUGCCUGGUAGCGGGGGAUAACUAUUGGAAACGAUAGCUAAUACCGCAUAAUAUUGAUUAUUGCAUGAUAAUUGAUUGAAAGAUUCUAUUGCAUCACUACCAGAUCGAUCUGCGUUGUAUUAGCUAGUAGGUGAGGUAACCGAUCACCUAGGCGACGAGACAUAGCCGACCUGAGAGGGUGAUCGGCCACACUGGGACUGAGACACGGCCCAGACUCCUACGGGAGGCAGCAGGAGGGAAUCUUCGGCAAUGGACGAAAGUCUGACCGAGCAACGCCGCGUGAGUGAAGAAGGGUUUCGGAUCGUAAAGCUCUGUUGUAAGAGAAGAACGGGUGUGAGAGUGGAAAGUUCACACUGUGACGGUAUCUUACCAGAAAGGGACGGCUAACUACGUG
rnacentral:rRNA from 1 species